rnacentral:lncRNA from 1 species
AUUUCUACAUGAUUGGGAGAAUUUAUUUUGGUUCAAAAAGCCAUAAAAUGUUUGGCUAAAUCUAUAUCUAUAAUCUAUAAAUUCUGAUGAAAAUUCAUUUUCUUUUGUCCACGUGGCAUUAUUAGCUUAAUUUGUUUCUUUGUGGGCCCUACCUGUCAUAUUAACUAGGGCUAGCAAACGAGCUAGCCAGCUCGCGUUCGGCUCAAUAUUCGGCUCGCUCAAGCUCGGCUCGAAUUAAUUUCAAGCAAGCUUGAGCUUAAAUUUAGGCUCGAAAUUAAUUUCAAGCCGAGCUUGAGUAUUAUUCGGCUCGCUCGAAUUAAGCUCGAAAAGCUCGAAAUAUAUAUAUAUAGUCUGCUAUACUAUUAAUAAUACCUACCACUUACUAUUAGAUUUUCGACCUUUGUAUGAAGGGAUGUGCGGUUAGAAUGAUAGUGAUCAUCUAGGGUUAAGUGAGUGAUUAGUUAAAAAAUAUGAUCUAACAGCACAAAAUUCGAUAGCACCAAGUAUUUAGUACUAUCAAUAAUAUCAUAGCCGGACUCUCUCUCUAUAUAUACUAGUGAAGGCCCGCGCUACGCUGCGGAGAAUUUAUGUAAAAAAUUAAAUUUUAAAUUUUAAAUUUAAUUUUUAUUUUUUGUACAUGAUCCACAACUAUACAAAUAAAAAAAAUUUAGAAAAGAGGAGGAAAAGGGGAAAAAAAGUUAAAGAAGAGAUAACAUCAAAAAAAAAGGGGGGGGGGGAAUAUUUUUAAAAAAUAUAUAGUAAAUUAUAUAUAAUAAAUAAAUAUAUAUUUAUAAAUAAAAUUAUCUCUCUCUCUCUCUUUCUCUCUUCCCCUCUCUCCCUCUACUCUCUUUCUCUCCCCCUCUCUCCCUCUUUAUCUCUCUCUCUCUCCCCCGUCUCGCUCUCUCUCUCUCUCUGUUUCUCUCUUUCUCUCUUUCUCCCGUUCGCUGCGAUGCGGCCAUGCUCGCAGCCCCCGCGCCCUCGCGAGGUGCCGGCGCCCCACGUCGCCGCCCCUCGGCUAGCGCCC